rnacentral:rRNA from 1 species
GAACCUACCCCUAGGACGGGGACAACAGAGGGAAACUUCUGCUAAUCCCGGAUGAGCCCUCGGGUAAAAGAUUUAUCGCCUAGGGAUGAGCUCGCGUCUGAUUAGCUAGUUGGUGGGGUAAAAGCCUACCAAGGCGACGAUCAGUAGCUGGUCUGAGAGGAUGAUCAGCCACACUGGGACUGAGACACGGCCCAGACUCCUACGGGAGGCAGCAGUGGGGAAUUUUCCGCAAUGGGCGCAAGCCUGACGGAGCAAGACCGCGUGGGGGAGGAAGGUUCUUGGAUUGUAAACCCCUUUUCUCAGGGAAGAAGAAAGUGACGGUACCUGAGGAAUCAGCCUCGGCUAACUCCGUGCCAGCAGCCGCGGUAAUACGGAGGAGGCAAGCGUUAUCCGGAAUGAUUGGGCGUAAAGCGUCCGUAGGUGGCAUUUCAAGUCUGCUGUCAAAGACUGGAGCUUAACUCCGGAAAGGCAGUGGAAACUGAAAAGCUAGAGUGCGGUAGGGGCAGAGGGAAUUCCUGGUGUAGCGGUGAAAUGCGUAGAGAUCAGGAAGAACACCGGUGGCGAAAGCGCUCUGCUGGGCCGCAACUGACACUGAGGGACGAAAG